UAAAUACUAAAACAACUAUUCCCCUCAGGGUCGGUGAAGAGCGGUGGAUAUAUAUCUCGACGCUUCUCGUCUCGGUAUGUAUCCACCACUAUUCACCUCCCCUUCGGGAGAUAGUUGCAUAAUAUUAUUCUGAGGGGGAGGAGGAGGGGGGCUGAUGUCUCAAUCUCUUCCAUUUGACCUCAGCCCAUCAGUUUACGGAAUGAAUAAACUCUCCCUCCAAAUAAUGACCAAUCAUAUUCGACAUGGUGACCCAAUCACCUCGUCGUUGGUUCACAUUAUAUACCGAUGUUCGUGUAAAAUUCAAAUGUACACUCGUCAGUAUCAUUAACAACCAGUCUUUAAUUUAUGCAAUCACUCUUCAACGAAUAUUAAGUCGUGUUUUACUCUUGUGGAUGUAUUUAUCAUUUUCAUACUUACAUACAUUCAAGAGUUAAUCUCUUGUAUGCCAUAAUACGACAUUACGAUAUUGUUUAAAUUAAGUGACCUAUUUUCAGACACUGACGAUUGUGUUAAUCACACAAUUAUCAAUACUAUAUCUUGUGUUGAAGGUAUAAACAGUUAUUUGUGCAGCUGCGUGAAGGAAUAGGGAUAUAUGCCAAAAAACUGAGAUUUGCGGUACUCGUGUCUCGAAAGCAUAAAAGUCACCAUUAGAGAUGCCCUGACUCCACUGAAAGUCACCAUUAGAGAGCGCAGGCUCCACUGAGAAGAUUAAUGACCAUUUGGCAUGAUCAUAUCAAACUUUACCUUGCCUCGGCUUGCUCACAGUUUCCUUUUUUUCACUCCACUGACCUCUUUGCAUAGUAAUACUCGAUAGAUUUAUUGCUCUCAACAGAUCUCGCUCGCUGUUAUCAGUUCCUAGACGAACGAUCUCGACUGUUGCACAGGAUAUGAGACUGGGAAGAGUCUUCUACAGCAGUUUUAUAGCGAAGAAAUUUGAAACUUGAAUUAGCUUUUGGACGCAUCUCAGGAUUGAGAUUAACCAGUAUUUGAUAGCAAAUGCAUUUUUAAACGUAAUGCAUUUUUCAUUUUCUACUGUACAUUUGUGGUGUGCAAGCUUAAGGCUUAAGGUUUGAUAUUUUGUAACUAGGAUCUAACCCAAAUACAAGCAUACUCUAAACUUCUUUAAUAAAGCUUUGUUUGUUUGUUUGUUUUGUUUUGUAUUUUUUUUUGGCACGUCCAUUCAAGGAUAAAUAGAUGUUCGUGUAGAAAAUUCCAUUCCUGAGGUUAAAUAACAAAGAUAGCAAAACCAAUACGGGAACAUUGAAAAUACUGGAACACCAUUGGCUUUUAAAGUUGGUCAUAAUUGCUUAGAUGGCCUUUUUUCGCGAUAUUCCCACACGUAUGAAGAUAUAGUAGAGAGAUAAGAUGAACACAUAGGCCAGAAGUUCGGCUCUGACCUUGAAGCACAAAUUAUUGCCAGAACCAUUCCACAAUCACAUAAAGUCAAGAUAUACGAUACGGGAAUGUAUCUCCCGAGAUUAAUUAAACAAUAGAUCGAAUUUUCUAUGGUUUACAGGCGUAAUAAACCUCUUUUAGCAAAGCAAGCUAAAAACUUGUCAAUCACGAGCCUAAGGCGAGUGAUUUAUAUGCUUUUAUAAAACAAUUGUAGCAGUAAAUUUCAAUGAGUUAUUAGGCACAAUAACUCACAGCUUUUUUACCAAUCAGAAGGUGCGUAAGUUGUCUUAUAAAUCCAAGUUGUCUUGCAUCCAAGUUGUCUUAUAAAUAACAAUUAAAGAUCGCUGGAUAAGAAAACCCAAAACCACUUCAUGGCAUAACAGGAACGUUUACCCUCGCGUGCAUGAGUUACGAUGACGAGCGAUGCAGAAACUCUUCGUCUUAGGCCAUAUCAGUUUUACAAGAAAUAAAAGGCAAACUGCGGUUGAGGCAUGCUAAACGUCAUGUAAACCUUUUAAGCCAUACGAUUGUUUCUAAUGUUUGUCACCGCGGUGUGCGUUUUAUUCCAUGUAGAUCUAGAACUAUAAAAUAUACGUUCUUUUCUCAAACAAAAUUAAGAAGCUUGGAUGCUAAGCGAGUUUUGACCUAGACUGAUUUAACUGAACUCCACCUCAAAAGUCUGCGACUCAUAAUCCUGAUUACUCGAACCCACUGCUCCGGUGUGUCCGGCAAAAUAACUAUUUCUGUUUGUUGCACUAGGCUAGAUUUACAGAAAUUCCAUUUCUGUCAGCUCAAGCUUGCAAAACUUGGCCACCUAACUUGCUUCUCAGAUUUUCCCUUUCAAUUAACCUUGUGAACAAGGAGAAUGGCAUGAAGAAGAUUUUGAUCUCUGAGUUGGAGAAAAACGUUUUAGGACCAAAUACAGUGCAUGUAGUUAGGCAGGUCCUGGUGGUACAUGUCAGAGUUUUUCGAAUCAUUUUAUUGAACAUGAAUUAUUUAUGAUUUUAAUAGUUAGGAGCAGGUGGUUGACACAAGGUCAUCUUCAUUGCCUAAAUGCAUGGUUUGGUUUGUAUUGAGUUAAAUUAGCAAAAGCAAAAGUCUGAGUGGGUCAUUCAGAUGAAAUGCCAUAAGACCUACGUGAAAUUCAUUCCAUUCUUACUUCAUUGCAUUCUGGUGGCUGCUGGUAAGGGAGCAAGCAGUGUUGGAUAUGAUAACCUUGGAUGUUGGCAUCUUCCAAGCAACGAUUCAAAAGCAGUUGCAAGCCUUGAGGGAUCCCACAGUGGUUUGGAGGGAUUGUACUGGGACAGAGUGUAUCCUGUGUCAAAAUGCGCAGAAGUCACAAAGGAGCGUGGCCUUUCGUUCUUUGCGAUUC